rnacentral:misc_RNA from 1 species
GAUGAAGAACGUAGCGAAAUGCGAUAAGUAAUGUGAAUUGCAGAAUUCAGUGAAUCAUCGAAUCUUUGAACGCACAUUGCGCCCCUUGGUAUUCCGAGGGGCAUGCCUGUUCGAGCGUCAUUACACCACUCAAGCUAUGCUUGGUAUUGGGCGUUGUCCUUAGUUGGGCGCGCCUUAAAGACCUCGGCGAGGCCACUCCGGCUUUAGGCGUAGUAGAAUUUAUUCGAACGUCUGUCAAAGGAGAGGAACUCUGCCGACUGAAACCUUUAUUUUUCUAGGUUGACCUCGGAUCAGGUAGGGAUACCCGCUGAACUUAAGCAUAUCAAUAAGCGGAGGA